rnacentral:lncRNA from 1 species
UUAUCGGAACGUGUAGUUCAAUUGCGUCCUGCCGAAAGUCUGAACGGGAGUCGCCGGAAGUACUGUAGCUUGCCGGAAAUCCUCGCCGGAAAUAAUUAGGUACAUGUUCAAGAAAACAGAACACAACCACACACACCCACAAAAAGCAGAAGAGAGAAUACAAAGAAAAAAGCAGGGGUCGCUGGAAAAAUCGCCGGCGAACAGCCUAUAAGACAGAAAUAGACAAUACUAGAAAGGAAAAUAAUCGGCACCACAACCGAUAAAAAUAAUCGGGACAACGAGAGAUAGGAAAAUAACAGGAAAUAACAGGAGUCACCAAACCCUAGAUUGAAAAACCCGUUUGAUGAUCGGAGAUACCGCCGACGAAAAAAAUAUUUGGAGAUGGAAAAUCACUAAAUGGUGUAGUAGCAGUAGCAGUAGUUUAGUCGAAUGAAGGGUUCGCUGUUUUUCUACUCUUGUAUCUGCAAAUAAAACCCCGGAACAGGGACAAACGUUUCUGCACAGAAAUCAAUAAAAAUGCCUACAGAUACCUGAUUCGUCUUCUACUUAGAUCUGAAAUUGAAAUUUGUUUGUAGACGCGUAUAUCAUAAUCAGUCCGGACUUGGAUCCAACUUGAAUUAAAUUCCGGAUCUCUUGAUCGGAGAUCGGUGAGAUGGAAUUUCUGGUAAUGACUAAUUCGUUGAGUAAUUUUCUCAAACACCUAUAGGCAGAUGCUAAUGGAAAUAGUAUAGGGUAAUUUGAUCUCACCUGGAAGUGAUCAAAAGAGUAGCAGCAACAAAAGAAUAGAGCGAAACUAAACAACAAACAAUGUAAAGUGAUUGAAAAUUGCAGGGGAAGAAAAGUAAUAUCUGAUAUUGCCCACCGUUUACGCAGAUGCAAAAACAUCAGAUGCCGUUCUCUCAGGAGUGUGAGUCAGCAGACCGAGUAGAAGCAAUUUAGGAAAUCUGAUCUUAAGGAAUGUCAGUGAAAGAAUCUUACGCCUUAUAGAAAAAGUAGAACCUUACUAUUUAAAAGAGUUCUUAAAAAUAAUGUAAAACGCGUAAAAAUCAAAUCUUUGCAAAGAAAAUUGAAAACCCAAUUGCAGAAUCAAACUAAAUAAGCAGAUCAAUCCAAAGAUUUUAAAAACAAUCUCCAAAUACACAACAAAUUCGAAAAAUAAAAAGAACCAAAAACACCUUAAUUUGUCUAGUUGUGAAGAAGAAGAACAAUAGAGAUGAGAUGAAGUCGGACAGUCAGUAUCCUACGGAGAAAAGUAUGGUUCUGAAUAAAAAAAUAUCUUCCCUGAGAUUUGAAAGGAUAGAAAGAGGGAAGAAAAUCUCUAUUUUAAUAGAGAAACUCUCACCAAAAAGUAUUGCAUAAAGGGGUCAUUUUCCUAUUCAAAAUGUGAGGGGAGAUUAUUG